UUACUUGAAAGUGGUUAAGUAUAGUGACUUGAAAUGAAUAAUUACGUGUAGUGACUUGAAAUGGUUGAGUAUAGUUAUUUGAAAUGUGAAGUAGUUACUUGAAAAUGGUGAAGUAUAGUGACUUGAAAUGUGAAUUAAUUAUUUGAAAAUGGUUAAGUGUAGUGAUUUGAAAUGUGUACUAGUGACUUGAAAAUGAUUAAGUGUAGUGCUUUGCAACGUGUAUUAGUUAUUUGAAAAUGGUUAAGUGUAGUGACUUGAAAUGUGUGCUAGUGAGUUGAAAAUGGUUAAGUGUAGUUGCUUGAAAAUUGUCAAGUAUAAUGACUUGAAAUGU
rnacentral:lncRNA from 1 species